UGCCAGCCGCCGCGGUAAUACGUAGGGAGCGAGCGUUAUCCGGAAUUAUUGGGCGUAAAGCGUGCGUAGGCGGUUUACUAAGUCAAAUCUGAAAGCCCUCGGCUUAACCGAGGAGGGUGAUUUGAAACUGGUAGACUUGAGUACGGCAGAGGUUAGUGGAAUUCCAUGUGUAGCGGUGGAAUGCGUAGAUAUAUUGAGGAACACCAGUGGCGAAGGCGGCUAACUGGACCGGAACUGACGCUGAUGCACGAAAGCGUGGGUAGCAAACAGGAUUAGAUA
rnacentral:rRNA from 1 species